UACAGAGGCCUCGAGCGUUGUUCGGAAUUACUGGGCGUAAAGGGCGUGUAGGCGGUCCGCUAAGUCUGAUGUGAAAGCCCGGGGCUCACCCCCGGAAGGGCAUUGGAAACUGGCGGACUCGAGUCUCGGAGAGGAAGGUGGAAUUCCUGGUGUAGCGGUGAAAUGCGUAGAUAUCAGGAGGAACACCGAUGGCGAAGGCAGGUCUCUGGGCCGAUACUGACGCUGAGGAGCGAAAGCGUGGGGAGCGAACAGG
rnacentral:rRNA from 1 species